GACGGGGGAGGCAAGCAUUGUCCGGAAUUAUUGGGCGUAAAGAACACGUAGGCGGUUUUUAAAGUCAAUUGUGAAAACCUUGGGCUCAACCCGAGGAUUGCAGUUGAUACUGGAAAACUAGAGUACAGUAGAGGAAAGUGGAAUUCCUGGUGUAGCGGUGAAAUGCGCAGAUAUCAGGAAGAACACCAGUGGCGAAAGCGGCUUUCUGGACUGUUACUGACGCUGAGGUGUGAAAGCUAGGGGAGCGAAC
rnacentral:rRNA from 1 species